ensembl:lncRNA
AUGGAUUUAGACAAAAAAAAUGAAAGUCUUGAUGAGGACUUUUUCAAGGACUACAAACCCACAGAAAAUGAUCUGCUCACUCCACCCAAGCAUAUCAUUUAUCUGCUGCUGGCUGUGAGCGUGACAGGAGUAACCCUUUUCGCCAUCAUAAGACACCUCAUCCAAGAUCUCAUCCAUGAUCUGGCAGAUUUCCUGUUUGGAGAGCAGCCUGUGGAAGAGCCGGAGACUCUCUGGGAAAGGCGGGAUAAGUUUAGGGCAGACUGGAUUCCUAAGGCAAUGCCUGAGCUGGAGGCCAUGGUGAGAGAUGAGGAUAUACAAGAACUCAUGGAGGGCACUCAAGACUUGCCAGCCAUCUGGGUUAUAUCGGACAAGUUUCAGCCUCGUGCUCCUUCCUCCAUUCAAAUAGAUGUUAGUGGCAGCUAGCAUGAAAUAAGUACAAGACUCUUCUCCUCUUAAUGCUAACACUGAUAUACUUAAAUAUUUUUAAAACUAACACCCAAGAAUCCAUUAUGUUAACUAUGUGCACACAGCUUGUUCUUCCUUUUCUUCUAAAAGACUUCAUGAAAUUAAAAUUAUUAUGAAAAUGGCAUAGCCUACUUACUUUUGAAACAGGAAAUUGGAAUGUAUCAAAUGGAAGAUGAAUUGAAGACAAUUUGCUAGUCAGCAGCAUGUGGUCUUAGAGGACAGGAAAUGAUCCCUCCAGAGAGAAUCUGAUUGGACAAAAAAAUCAUCUAUCUAGUGCAAGAUGAGUUCUGGUUAUUUUUCUCUGUUUUCCUCAGAAGAGAAAGACUUUAUUUUUUAAUGUGUAUAUCUGCUCAAAGUGAAUUUUUUCAACAUUUGCGAGAGCAGUUGGACAGAGAUUACCUCAAAGCAAACGCACAUGGUCUAAAUGAAACAAAACUCUAAAUCUGAAUAAGGUGUUUGCAUUUUUUAUGAUUUUUUUUUUUUGACAUACUGUUGCACUUUAUCUAUGCACUAUAUCAAUUCAAUAGACAGUUUUGUGUCUAUGAGUCCUUACAGAAGUUUAAACUGGCAUGACCUUCUGUUCUAAUAAAUCUUUUGUCUUUACAACA